rnacentral:rRNA from 1 species
GACGAACGCUGGCGGCGUGCUUAACACAUGCAAGUCGAACGGAAAGGCCUGCUUUCCCUUGUGGAUUGCGGGUACUCGAGUGGCGAACGGGUGAGUAACACGUGAGUGAUCUGCCCCCAACUUGGGUAUAAGCCUGGGAAACUGGGUCUAAUUCCCGAUAGGACUGCAGGGUGGUGCCUGUGGUGGAAAACGAUUUUCUAGUGGUUGGGGAUGAGCUCGCGGCCUAUCAGCUUGUUGGUGGGGUAAUGGCCUACCAAGGCGGCGACGGGUAGCCGGCCUGAGAGGGUGGACGGGCACAUUGGGACUGAGAUACGGCCCAGACUCCGACGGGAGGCAGCAGUGGGGAAUAUUGCACAAUGGGCGGAAGCCUGAUGCAGCGACGCCGCGUGGGGGAUGACGGCCUUCGGGUUGUAAACUCCUUUCGACCGCGAGGAAGCCACCUGGUUGGAAGGGUGGUGACGGUAGUGGUAGAAGAAGCACCGGCUAACUACGUG